UACGUAGGGUGCAAGCGUUGUCCGGAAUUAUUGGGCGUAAAGAGCUCGUAGGCGGUUUGUCGCGUCUGCUGUGAAAACUGGAGGCUCAACCUCCAGCCUGCAGUGGGUACGGGCAGACUAGAGUGCGGUAGGGGGAGAUUGGAAUUCCUGGUGUAGCGGUGGAAUGCGCAGAUAUCAGGAGGAACACCGGUGGCGAAGGCGCCACUCUGGGCCGAAACUGACGCUGAGGAGCGAAAGCGUGGGUAGCAAACAGG
rnacentral:rRNA from 1 species